rnacentral:rRNA from 1 species
CCAGACUCCUACGGGAGGCAGCAGUGGGGAAUAUUGCACAAUGGGGGAAACCCUGAUGCAGCGACGCCGCGUGAAGGAAGAAGUAUCUCGGUAUGUAAACUUCUAUCAGCAGGGAAGAAAACAGACGGUACCUGACUAAGAAGCCCCGGCUAACUACGUGCCAGCAGCCGCGGUAAUACGUAGGGGGCAAGCGUUAUCCGGAUUUACUGGGUGUAAAGGGGGCGCAGACGGCCAUGGCAAGCCCGGUGUGAAAGCCCGGGGCUCAACCCCGGGACUGCAUUUGAAACUGUCAGGCUGGAGUGCAGGAGAGGUAAGUGGAAUUCCUAGUGUAGCGGUGAAAUGCGUAGAUAUUAGGAGGAACACCAGUGGCGAAGGCGGCUUACUGGACUGUAACUGACGUUGAGGCUCGAAAGCGUGGGGAGCAAACAGGAUUAGAUACCCCGGUACG